GUGCUUGCUUCAGCAACACAUAUACUAAAAUUGGAACGAUACAGAGAAUAUUAGCAUGGCCCAUGCGCAAGGAUAACACACAAAUUCAUGAAGCAUUUCAUAUUUUU